rnacentral:misc_RNA from 1 species
UAAUUAAAACUUUUAACAAUGGAUCUCUUGGUUCUCGUAUCGAUGAAGAACGCAGCGAAACGCGAUAUUUCUUGUGAAUUGCAGAAGUGAAUCAUCAGUUUUUGAACGCACAUUGCACUUUGGGGUAUCCCCCAAAGUAUACUUGUUUGAGCGUUGUUUCUCUCUUGGAAUUGCUUUGCUCUUCUAAAAUUUCGAAUCAAAUUCGUUUGAAAAACAACACUAUUCAACCUCAGAUCAAGUAGGAUUACCCGCUGAACUUAAGCAUAUCAAUAAGCGGAGGAAAAGAAACCAACAGGGAUUGCCUUAGUAACGGCGAGUGAAGCGGCAAAAGCUCAAAUUUGAAAUCGGCCCCCAGGUCGAGUUGUAAUUUGUAGAUUGUAUCUUGAGAGCGGAUUAAAGUCUGUUGGAACACAGCGCCUUAGAGGGUGACAGCCCCGUAAAAUCUAUUCUCAUUGUAAGAUACUUUCGAAGAGUCGAGUUGUUUGGGAAUGCAGCUCUAAGUGGGAGGUAAAUUCCUUCUAAAGCUAAAUAUUGACGAGAGACCGAUAGCGAACAAGUACUGUGA